rnacentral:RNase_P_RNA from 1 species
AUAGCAAGCCGGUCUAUCGCUGCAAUCAAGUAUUGGAGAGGAAAGUCUGGGCAAUGCAGAGCACUGUACUUCUGAAUAGGAAGAAGCUCGUAAGGGUUUAGUAACGUAGCAGAGAAUAACCGCCUUCGGGUAAGGGUGAAAAGGUGAGGUAAGAGCUCACCAAUGGGGUAGGUAACUAUGCCAGUUGUACGUCUUACAGAUUGCAAGACCAUGUAUAUCAUAACUCCGUAAGGAGCAGAGCUGCUCGUUCUGUUUUGAAAAAAGUUGUGAGGGGUAGGUCGCUCAAAGUAGCAGGUGACUGCUAUUUUAGAUAAAUGAUAGACGCUCCUUGUGAGUAACAGGACCCGGCUUACAGGCUUGCUAUUUUU